rnacentral:tRNA from 1 species
UAAAUUGAAGCCCGCUGGCUUGGGUUUUUAGUUGUUAACUAAAGGUUUACGGGAUCGAGGCCCGUCGAUCUAG